GAUCAUGGCUCAGAUUGAACGCUGGCGGCAGGCCUAACACAUGCAAGUCGAACGGUAACAGGAGGAAGCUUGCUUCUUUGCUGACGAGUGGCGGACGGGUGAGUAAUGUCUGGGAAACUGCCUGAUGGAGGGGGAUAACUACUGGAAACGGUAGCUAAUACCGCGUAACGUCGCAAGACCAAAGAGGGGGACCUUCGGGCCUCUUGCCAUCGGAUGUGCCCAGAUGGGAUUAGCUAGUAGGUGGGGUAACGG
rnacentral:rRNA from 1 species